ensembl:lncRNA novel transcript
UGUUUGCCAGGGGCUCUCGGACCUUAGGCCACAGACGGAAGGCUGCACCGUCUGCUUCCCCACUUUUGAGGUGUUGGGACUUGGACUGAUCCACUACUGGCUUCCUUGCUCCUCAACUUGCAGACGGCCUAUCGUGGGACUUUACCUUGUGAUUGUGAAGAGGGUUUAACUCUGCAACAUAAUCAGUGCACAGAAACCUAAAUUGGAAAUCUCUUUCACUACAGACAAGACAGUUCAGAAGUGAAAAGUCACAGUAAAAUUGGGCAUUUCUUUCCAUAGACUUAACAGAAGCAACACCUGGAUUCCAGCAGCUGUACUGGUGUAACUGGCACUUGAACGUCUCCAUCCAAGUGCCCCUUUGUGGCAGAUGAAGAGUUCAGGUUUUGUUCCUCAUCAGCUUUGUGACCUUGGGCAAAGUCCUUGACCUAUCAGAGCCUCAAUUUCCCUAUCUGUGGAAAGACGACCAUGAAAAAAUAUGCACUAUGGGGUGGUUCUGGUGGGGAGAGUUAAAUUAGAUAUAAUUUAGAAAUUCUUAGCAUAAUAUUUGUAUCAUAUAUAUGUUUAUAUAUGUUAAUAUGUAACACAUAAUAGUAUAUAAGAAAGUCAUCUAUAUGAACUUCACACAGCAUAUUAUAUUAUAUAUACACACUACAUGGUGUAUAUGACAUAUACUAUCUAAUA